rnacentral:misc_RNA from 1 species
GAUGAAGAACGCAGCGAAAUGCGAUAAGUAAUGUGAAUUGCAGAAUUCAGUGAAUCAUCGAAUCUUUGAACGCACAUUGCGCCCCUUGGUACUCCGAGGGGCAUGCCUGUUCGAGCGUCAUUAUAACCCCUCAAGCUCAGCUUGGUGUUGGGGCCUGCUGCACUGGCAGCCCUUAAAAUCAGUGGCGGCGCCAUCUGGCUCUAAGCGUAGUAAUUCUUCUCGCUAUGGAGUCCUGGUGGAUGCUUGCCAUCAACCCCCAAUUUUUCUAUGGUUGACCUCGGAUCAGGUAGGGAUACCCGCUGAACUUAAGCAUAUCAAUAAGCGGAGGA